GGGUAGCCGGCCUGAGAGGGUGUCCGGCCACACUGGGACUGAGAUACGGCCCAGACUCCUACGGGAGGCAGCAGUGGGGAAUAUUGCACAAUGGGCGCAAGCCUGAUGCAGCGACGCCGCGUGAGGGAUGACGGCCUUCGGGUUGUAAACCUCUUUCAACGCCGACGAAGGGUGACUGACGGUAGGCGUAGAAGAAGCACCGGCCAACCACGUGCCAGCAGCCGCGGUAAUACGUAGGGUGCGAGCGUUGUCCGGAAUUACUGGGCGUAAAGAGCCCGUAGGUGGUUUGUCGCGUUGUUCGUGAAAACUCACAACUCAAUUGUGGGCGUGCGGGCGAUACGGGCAGACUGGAGUACUGCAGGGGAGACUGGAAUUCCUGGUGUAGCGGUGGAAUGCGCAGAUAUCAGGAGGAACACCGGUGGCGAAGGCGGGUCUCUGGGCAGUAACUGACGCUGAGGAGCGAAAGCGUGGGGAGCGAACAGGAUUAGAUACCCUGGUAGUCCACGCCGUAAACGGUGGGUACUAGGUGUGGGUUUCCUUCCUUGGGAUCCGUGCCGUAGCUAACGCAUUAAGUACCCCGCCUGGGGAGUACGGCCGCAAGGCUAAAACUCAAAGGAAUUGACGGGGGCCCGCACAAGCGGCGGAGCAUGUGGAUUAAUUCAAUGCAACGCGAAGAACCUUACCUGGGUUUGACAUGCACAGGACGCCGGCAGAGAUGUCGGUUCCCUUGUGGCCUGUGUGCAGGUGGUGCAUGGCUGUCGUCAGCUCGUGUCGUGAGAUGUUGGGUUAAGUCCCGCAACGAGCGCAACCCUUGUCUCAUGUUGCCAGCGCGUUAUGGCGGGGACUCGUGAGAGACUGCCGGGGUCAACUCGGAGGAAGGUGGGGAUGACGUCAAGUCAUCAUGCCCCUUAUGUCCAGGGCUUCACACAUGCUACAAUGGCCGGUACAAAGGGCUGCGAUGCCGUGAGGUGGAGCGAAUCCUUUUCAAAGCCGGUCUCAGUUCGGAUCGGGGUCUGCAACUCGACCCCGUGAAGUCGGAGUCGCUAGUAAUCGCAGAUCAG
rnacentral:rRNA from 1 species